rnacentral:rRNA from 1 species
GGAUCCAGACUUUGAUUCUGGCUCAGGAUGAACGCUAGCUACAGGCCUAACACAUGCAAGUCGAGGGGAAACGGCAGCUUAGCUUGCUAAGCUGGACGUCGACCGGCGCACGGGUGAGUAACGCGUAUCCAACCUGCCCCACGGUGAGGGAUAACCCGCGGAAACGCGGCCUAAUACCUCAUGGUCUCCGAGCUUGACAUCAAUCUUGGAGUAAAGACUCAUUGCCGUGGGAUGGGGAUGCGUCUGAUUAGCUUGUUGGCGGGGCAACGGCCCACCAAGGCAACGAUCAGUAGGGGUUCUGAGAGGAAAGCCCCCCACAUUGGAACUGAGACACGGUCCAAACUCCUACGGGAGGCAGCAGUGAGGAAUAUUGGUCAGUGGGCGAGAGCCUGAACCAGCCAAGUAGCGUGCAGGAAGACGGCCCUAUGGGUUGUAAACUGCUUUUAUGCGGGGAUAAAGGGGGCGACGUGUCGCCCUUUGCAGGUACCGCAUGAAUAAGGACCGGCUAAUUCCGUGCCAGCAGCCGCGGUAAUACGGAAGGUCCGGGCGUUAUCCGGAUUUAUUGGGUUUAAAGGGAGCGCAGGCCGGGUAUUAAGCGUGUUGUGAAAUGUAGGCGCCCAACGUCUGCACCGCAGCGCGAACUGGUGCCCUUGAGUACGCACGACGUUGGCGGAAUUCGCCGUGUAGCGGUGAAAUGCUUAGAUAUGGCGAAGAACUCCGAUUGCGAAGGCAGCUGACGGGAGCGCUACUGACGCUCAUGCUCGAAAGCGCGGGUAUCGAACAGGAUUAGAUACCCUGGUAGUCCGCGCGGUAAACGAUGGAUGCCCGCUAUUUGCGCAUUAGCGCAAGUGGCCAAGUGAAAACGUUAAGCAUCCCACCUGGGGAGUACGCCGGCAACGGUGCAACUCAAAGGAAUUGACGG